rnacentral:rRNA from 1 species
UUGAGUCGCCCGUCCUGGACCCGAAGCGGGAUGAUCUAGCCCUGGGCAGGUUGAAGCGCGGGUAAGACCGUGUGGAGGACCGGACCCACCUGGGUUGAAAACCGGGGGGAUGACCUGGGGCUAGGGGUGAAAGGCCAAUCAAAUUCCGUGAUAGCUGGUUCUCUCCGAAAUGCAUUUGGGUGCAGCGUCGGGUGAGUGCUUGCGGGGGGUAGAGCUACUGGAUGCUUGAGGGCCCGUACUGGGUACCGACAGCAACCAAACUCCGAAUACCCGUCAAGUGUAUCCCGGCGGUGAGUCGGCGGGGGAUAAGCUCCGUCGUCGAGAGGGAGACAGCCCAGACCGUCGUCUAAGGUCCCCAAGCGCGUGCUAAGUGGGAAAGGAUGUGGAGUCGCAUAGACAGCCAGGAGGUUGGCUCAGAAGCAGCCAUCCUUGAAAGAGUGCGUAACAGCUCACUGGUCUAGUGGUUCCGCGCCGACAAUGUAGCGGGGCUCAAGCACGCCACCGAAGACGCGGCAAUGGUUUAGGCCAUUGGGUAGGAGAGCGUCCCCCGAGGGGCGAAGCGGCGGCGUGAGCCUGCCGUGGACUUCGGGGGAGUGAGAAUGCAGACAUGAGUAGCGAGAGGCGGGUGAAGAUCCCGUCCGCCGGAUGACCAAGGGUUCCAGGGCCACGUUCAUCGUCCCUGGGUGAGUCGGGUCCUAAGGCGAGGCCGACAGGCGUAGUCGAAUGGAUGAACGGGUUGAUAUUCCCGUACCGGCUUGCGACCGAACAGACCGAGGCCGUGAGUACUAACCUCCGGCCGGUCCCCAUCCGUCCUUCGGGACGGUGGCGGGUCCGGUCGCCGGGACCGUAACGGUAGUAGGUGAGCGCAGGAGUGACACGGAAGGGCAGCCGGCCCGGGAGGUGGUUUUCCCGGGCCAAGCAUUCGGCCCGUCCCCCAGGCAAAUCCGGGGGGCGUAUGGGUGAGGUGCGAUGGGACGCGCGUUGAGCGUGGAUCCGGUGGUCCCGGCCGUCGAGAAAAGCUUCGGCGUGAGGGCGCAUGCCGCCCGUACCCCAAACCGACACUGGUGGUCAGGUAGAGAAUACCAAGGCGAUCGAGCGAAUCCUGGUCAAGGAACUCGGCAAAUCACUCCCGUUCCUUCGGUUCAAGGGAGGCCCCCGAUGGUGAAAGGACUUGCUCCUGGAGCUUUUGGGGGUGGCACAGACCAGGGGGUAGCGACUGUUUACCAAAAACACAGGUGCAUGCGAAGGCGCAAGCCGCUGUAUAUGCACUGACGCCUGCCCGGUGCCGGAAGGUUAAGAGGAUCCGUCAUCCCUUCGGGGGGCAGCGGUGAAUUCAAGCCCCGGUAAACGGCGGUGGUAACUAUAACCAUCCUAAGGUAGCGAAAUUCCUUGUCGGGUAAGUUCCGACCUGCACGAAUGGCGUAACGACUUCCCCACUGUCUCGACCAGGAGCUCGGCGAAAUUGCAGUACGAGUAAAGAUGCUCGUUAAGCGCAGAAGGACGAAAAGACCCCGGGACCUUUACUAUACCUUGGUAUUGGCAUUCGGUGUGGAUUGUGUAGCAUAGGCGGGAGACCGUGAGGCGUGGUCGCCAGACCACGUGGAGUCGCAAGGUGAAAUACCGCUCUGUUCGCAUUGGAUGUCUCACCACGACACGUGAUCCGUGUCUGGGACAGUGCCUGGCGGGUAGUUUAACUGGGGCGGUUGCCUCCCAAAGAGUAACGGAGGCGCCCAAAGGUCACCUCAGCCCGGUUGGCAAUCGGGUGGCGAGUGCAAGUGCACAAGGUGGCUUGACUGCGAGACUGACGGGUCGAGCAGGGACGAAAGUCGGGACUAGUGAUCCGGUGCCGGUGUACGGACGCGGCAUCGCUCAACGGAUAAAAGGUACCCCGGGGAUAACAGGCUGAUCAUUCCCAAGAGUCCAUAUCGACGGGAUGGUUUGGCACCUCGAUGUCGGCUCGUCGCAUCCUGGGGCUGGAGCAGGUCCCAAGGGUUCGGCUGUUCGCCGAUUAAAGCGGCACGCGAGCUGGGUUCAGAACGUCGUGAGACAGUUUGGUCUCUAUCCUCUGCGCUCGUUGGAAUGUUGAGGAGGCCUGCCCAUAGUACGAGAGGACCUGGGUGGACGAACCUCUGGUAUGCCGGUUGUCGCGCCAGCGGCACGGCCGGUUGGCCACGUUCGGAAGGGAUAACCGCUGAAAGCAUCUAAGCGGGAAGCCUGCUCCAAGAUAAGCAUUCCUACAGGCCCAUGUGGCCUGGUGACCCCCCAUGCAGAACACGUGGUCG